rnacentral:rRNA from 1 species
CGACGCCGCGUGUGGGAGGAAGCUCUUCGGGGUGUAAACCACUGUUGCCCGGGACGAACAUGCUCUUUCGAGGGCACUGACGGUACCGGGUGAGGAAGCACCGGCUAACUCUGUGCCAGCAGCCGCGGUAAUACAGAGGGUGCGAGCGUUGUCCGGAAUCACUGGGGCGUAAAGGGCGCGUAGGCGGCUUGAUAAGCGUGCGGUGAAAGCCCGGGGCUCAACCCCGGGUCGGCCGUGCGAACUGUCGAGCUGGAGCACUGUAGAGGCAGGUGGAAUUCCGGGUGUAGCGGUGGAAUGCGUAGAGAUCCGGAAGAACACCGGUGGCGAAGGCGGCCUGCUGGGCAGUGGCUGACGCUGAGGCGCGACAGCGUGGGGAGCAAACAGGAUUAGAUACCCUGGUAGUCCACGCCGUAAACGAUGGGCACUAGGUGCUUGGGGGAGCGACCCUCCGAGUGCCGGCGCUAACGCAUUAAGUGCCCCGCCUGGGGAGUACGGCCGCAAGGCUG